GUCAUAAGGAAGGAUCUGAGUCAUCUCCCCAGGAGAGUAUUUUAGCCAUACAUCAUUGUUUGUUUUCAGGCAAACCCAUACAAUUAUGCAACAUAAAUUCUUUUAAAGCAUUUGGGACUUCAGUUCAAUUUAAAAUCCUGUAGGCUUUAUGGCCAGUGUGAGUGAUUACUAAAUGUGUGCAUAGAAAUGAAGACUGGGGAAGAGGCACGUGGGGAGGAUUAAAGGGCAUAUGGAGUCUCAUGCACACCCUUGGCAAGCUCUGUCCAGGCUGAACCAGAGGAUAAGAGAGCUGAAGAGCCCACGUCAAAAGAUGGAACACAAACCACCCCCUUCCAGCACAAAUUCCAUGUGAACCGUUCUGGCGUGAGCAAGAUGCAAACCCAGAUGUAUACUCCACUGAAGCUGGGGGAGUUAUUGACAACCGAUACUGAGGCAAUCCAAGGCCAGACCCUGACCUAUUGAUUUCCCCGAGAUUGCACAGGACGUGUGCAGUUCAUUGCAGAAUACAGUCUUUGUUUUGUUUAUUACUCAAUAUAUAACCAUGUGGAAUAAAGGACACCGCCGAACUGCAGAAAAUGCCUGAGGAUUUCUCUUUAAUUGAAAUCAGGACUAGGAACAUCCUUGCAAAUCAAGAGCAGUCAGCCUUUGAGAAAAUUCACUGCUUUUGCAAAGUUUACUUUCAAACAGGAUUUAGUUUUAACUCUUUGUCUCUCACACCAGCUCAGCUAAGUAACUUCUAAUGAUUUCUCUGAA